AACAGUUAACAAUUCUCUGUACAAAGGGAUAUAAGACAGGGUCUGUCUCUACGGUUGGCUGAGUGGUCAUCUCCAGAUUUUCCAUCAUCCGAGGCCUGUUCCCUUUAAGGCAUUGAAACUCUGUGAACUUUCUAGGGUAGCCUCGCGGCCUCCCCCAGACGCGCUUACGUCACCGUUCGGGGAAGCGGCUGACGUCAGCGCGUCCUCGGCGAGUGGGGCGGGGCCGUGACUCAUCGGGACCGCGCCUCAGGCCCCGUGCGGCCGGGCGCACGUGAGCACGCACUGCGCUGCUUCUAAUUUAAGCUCCAGCGGCUCUGGUGGGGUCAGGCGAGGAAGCUAUUGGAAGGAGUACUCUAUCAAAAUAAGGAAAUGAACCUAGAGGAAGGUGUGAGAUGCUGGAACCAGGGACUCCAACCAGUGUUACAAAGGAAUAGAGGAUUUGAAAUCCAGACACAAGCUGUUCACAGGGAGUUGUGACUAUAUGUGUGAUUGGAGCUCAGAGAAGAGGGCAAGGCCAUCAACCCACAUAUCCACAGGGACUACA